CAUGAUGGCGAUGGCGAAGGCCACGUGAUCAUCAGCUCGCGUGUUGGCCAAGGCAAACACCCUGACCACCGUGUUGAACUCCAGGGCCUCGGUGAACCGGACCAGGAUCUCAUUUGUGAUACAGUCUGAGUUGUUGACGUUCACUUCGGUCAUCUCCGGGUCGUUGUUCUUCACCUUCUCCAGAGCACCCUCCAGUUACAGACCACGAUUUCGCAGGGGCCCUCCUUGCCAAAGACAGCCUAGAGAGGAUGGCAAUGAAGAGGAUAAGGAGAAUCAAGUAGAUGAGAUCCAAGGUCAGCAGCCACCUCAACGUCAGUACCGCCAAAACUUCAAUUACCGACGCAGACGCCCAGAGAACCCUAAACCACAAGAUGGCAAAGAGUCAAAAGCAGCCGAUCCACCAGCUGAGAAUAGGUCUGCUCCCGAGGCUGAGCAGGGCGGGCUGAGUAAAUGCCGGCUUAACAUUUCUACCAUCAUCCGGUUUAGUCAUCCAGCAAGAAGAAACAAAUAUGAAAUUCCAGCAAUAAGAAAUGAACAAAAGAUUGGGAACUGAAGACCUUAAGUGCUUGCUUUUUGCCCAUUGACCAGAUAACUAGAACUAUCUGCAUUAUCUAUGCAGCAUGGGGUUUUUAUUAUUUUUACCUAAAGAUGUCUCUUUUUGGUAAUGACAAACGUGUUUUUUAAAAAAA